rnacentral:rRNA from 1 species
AUGUGCCUCUUAGUUUGGGAUAGCCAUUGGAAACGAUGAUUAAUACCAGAUACUCCCUACGGGGGAAAGAUUUAUCGCUAAGAGAUCAGCCUAUGUCCUAUCAGCUUGUUGGUAAGGUAAUGGCUUACCAAGGCUAUGACGGGUAUCCGGCCUGAGAGGGUGAACGGACACACUGGAACUGAGACACGGUCCAGACUCCUACGGGAGGCAGCAGUAGGGAAUAUUGCUCAAUGGGGGAAACCCUGAAGCAGCAACGCCGCGUGGAGGGUGAAGGUUUUAGGAUUGUAAACUCCUUUUGUUAGAGAAGAUAAUGACGGUAUCUAACGAAUAAGCACCGGCUAACUCCGUGCCAGCAGCCGCGGUAAUACGGAGGGUGCAAGCGUUACUCGGAAUCACUGGGCGUAAAGAGCGCGUAGGCGGGAUGGUCAGUCAGGUGUGAAAUCCUAUGGCUUAACCAUAGAACUGCAUUUGAAACUACUAUUCUAGAGUGUGGGAGAGGUAGGUGGAAUUCUUGGUGUAGGGGUAAAAUCCGUAGAGAUCAAGAGGAAUACUCAUUGCGAAGGCGACCUGCUGGAACAUUACUGACGCUGAUUGCGCGAAAGCGUGGGGAGCAAACAGGAUUAGAUACCCUGGUAGUCCACGCCCUAAACGAUGGAUGCUAGUUGUUGGAGGGCUUAGUCUCUCCAGUAAUGCAGCUAACGCAUUAAGCAUCCCGCCUGGGGAGUACGGUCGCAAGAUUAAAACUCAAAGGAAUAGACGGGGACCCGCACAAGCGGUGGAGCAUGUGGUUUAAUUCGAAGAUACACGAAGAACCUUACCUAGGCUUGACAUUGAGAGAAUCCGCUAGAAAUAGUGGAGUGUCUAGCUUGCUAGACCUUGAAAACAGGUGCUGCACGGCUGUCGUCAGCUCGUGUCGUGAGAUGUUGGGUUAAGUCCCGCAACGAGCGCAACCCCCUUUCUUAGUUGCUAACAGGUCAUGCUGAGAACUCUAAGGAUACUGCCUCCGUAAGGAGGAGGAAGGUGGGGACCGACGUCAAGUCAUCAUGGCCCUUACGCCUAGGGCUACACACGUGGCUACAAUGGGGUGCACAAAGAGAAGCAAUACUGCGAAGUUGGAGCCAAUCUUCGAAAACGCCUCUCAGUUCGGAUUGUAGGCUGCAAAUCGCCUGCAUGAAGCUGGAAUCGCUAGUAAUCGCAAAUCAGCCAUGUUGCGGUGAAUACGUUCCCGGGUCUUGUACUCACCGCCCGUCACACCAUGGGAGUUGUGUUUGCCUUAAGUCAGGAUGCUAAACUAGCUACUGCCCACGGCACACACAGCGACUGGGGUGAA